UCGGUCGGGUUCCAUGUUUGCUGUGAUCCAUAGUAAAGCUUCACCUCUGGGAAUUUUAAACAAGGAAUCACCGUAUGUUUGUGUGGCUAAAGGCUAAAGCUUCUUAACUCCAUCUUUCUACUUUGACUUCUCCAAUAUUAAUUGAACAAAUUGCAAAAGAUUCAGCAACACAGAUGUCCAAAAUACUGUGUAAUUAUGCGGUUAAAGCAGACAACUUUUAGCUCUGUGUGUGUGUGCAGCGCUCAUAUUCAUAACAGCCCGUGACGUCAUGCGUACACGUCAUCAUUACGCGACGUUUUCAAGAAAAAACUUCCGGGAAAUUUAAAAUUGCAAUUUGGUAAACUAAAAAGGCCGGGUUGGCAUGUGUUGCAAUGUUAAUAUUUAAUCAUUGAUAUAGAAACUAUCAGACUGUGUGGUGGGUAGUAGUGGGUUUCAGUAGACCUUUAAAGGUGCUGCCAAGAGAAAUGUGCGAGACUGCUCAAAGUAGGUUGUGCCAAGCUUGUGGCAUCAUAUUCAAAAAGACUUGAGGCUUCAAUUGCUGCCCAAGGUCCAUCAACAAAGUAUUGAGAAAAGGCUGUCAAUUCUUAUGUUUAUUUGACUUCUUAGUUUUAAUACAUUUGCAUUUAUACCAUGUUAGAAUGAGGCUGUAACGUAUCAAAGUGUGGAAAAGGUGAAGCACUACUAAUACUUUCCAUAUGCACUUUAUUUGUUUUGGUAUCUUAUUUAAAUGUUUCAUAUCUAAUCACCCAAAAAUGGACCAUUGGAAGCUCUUUUGGCCCUCAGGUUUACACCACCAUGUUUUUUUAGUUUCCUACCAUCCGAGUGUAGCUGGGAUAGGCUCCAGUCCCCCUUCGGUCCCAAAAGGGACAAACGUUAGAAAAUGUAUGAAUGGAUGUUUUUUUUUUUUUAAAUGAGCUGUUGUAAAUAAAAAAAACAACUAAACGCCAUCUUGUGCAAAUAGUGUAUUUUUCUCUCUCCACGAGGUGGCGUUGUUACUCUGCCUUAACACAUUGCAGGGUUUCCUCUGCAUUCUGCAAUAACUUUGAAGCAAUUGUGUGCAGAUGCAUAUCUCCCUGGAGGGGAUUUUCAUUUAAAAGGCUUAUUUCAGCUCCCUGCAGGGUUAAAUGUGUUAUUAUAUAUGCAGUUCAUUGAUUUCUGGGGGAUGGAUGCAAAAUAGUUCUACUGAAUGUGCAGUUUUUUGUCAUUUUACUGCUAUUAUGACGAAAUAGAAGCAUGACGCAUAGAUCAAUAUAUAUUACAUUAUACAUUCGACAUUAUUACUAUACUUUUUUGUGGUGGAUUACUAAAAUUCAACUUUAAAGAAGUGUAGUUAAUUUGACCUUUAUUAUCUAAUUUUUUUUUAAUUACAUUUUUUAACUUUAACAGCCCGCUGUAUUAAUUUGUAUUUUUUAGAUGAAUUCUCUCAACAAAAAGAAUAAUGGAAUAAUACGUACCCAUAAUACAUUAAUAACAGUCUUCAAAUAUAUUACUUAUUUAAGAUCAACAUUUUAAAUACAGUACUAUAAAACUACAGUCCAAAAAUAUUUUAAUUGAGUCCCUUUUUAUUUGCUCAAAACAAAAAUUGUUUUUGUGCGUCAGGAAAUUGAAUGGAACGACAUGCUGACAGGCAAUAAGUAGCAGCCUUUAAGCGAAAUUUAAUUUUCUGGCAGCAACAUUUUCUUUUCAGUUUUUUUUUUUUUUUUUAUAUCAAAGGGGUUAUAUUUUCUAUUAAAUAGCCAAUUUUGCAACAAGGUUUAUUGCUGUUCAUGUCCUUUUUUUGUGCAAAUGUAGGUAUAAGUCAUGCAAUUUGGAAUCUUUUUUUUAAUUUUUUUUUUUACGUUGUUUCCUCUCGUGUGUAAACACCACCAAGUGGUUUACCGAAACCACUGGUUUUAGUUCUGGAUAGUGAUACUAUAUGUAAUUAUGGUGACUAUGUGUUUGAUUUUGUAAUGAGCAAACCAUUUGAAACACUUGUUCCCAUUAUGUAUGCCAUAAUGGUACUCCCAAGAUUUGCCUCUGUGUAUACACCAUCCACUCUUUGGGUGGCCAGUGGAAGUAAUUUGCAUACUCUACACUAAACUUGUGAAAUGAUGUUUGCAUAGUCAAUGAAUCAGCCUCGCAAGUGGCGUUAAUGAUCUUAGGAAAUUAACCAUUUGUCAGGUGUGGGCUAAACGGUUUUGCACACUAAUAAAUGUAUUUCUGGGCGA